ensembl:lncRNA
AGCCUCCUGAGUUCUGGGAUCACUGGCAUGCUCUACCACACCUGGCCUCAGCUUUUAAUCUACCUGACAAAGGGGAUCCUUGGGUCCAUAUUUAGCAAGACUGUCUCUGUCACCAAAAAUAAUGGAACACCACUCAGGACAACCAACAUUAAAAAGUCAACUACUUCAACUUUAAUCUUCCAGCUAAAACAUCUGUGUUUUAUACAGCCUUCAGAAAGGCAAAGGCCUUCUUGAAGACAUGUUCUGGAUCAACAUUUUUCACUUGAAAUGAAAGUACAGAAACCAGAAGAGACCUUGAAAUUCUCAUAGGACUAGAAAGACAAAUUUGGAAAUGUGAGGACACAAGAUUCCAAAGAGAAGAGACGAAUAAAUAACUGAACACUUGGAGAGCCAAUUUUCCCUCUAAGAAUUUUCCUAUAUCUGAGAUGAAUGACUUGAGAAGAGAUAUCCUCUGAAAAGCAUGGCAUUUAUUUUCUAUAGUCUCUUUGUAAUAUAAGAAUUGAAAUUCAGGAUUUGCCACAGGAUGCACCCCCACCACCACUACAGUGAAUUAACAGGUUCUCAGAAGAAAACACCAAAAAUCUACAUCUUAAGAUCUGAUAUGAAAAAGUAGGUAGCCUUUCAAAAAAUAAAACAUAACCUUGGUUCAGGACAGUUUCUGAUUAGAGUAAAAUCACAAGCCACAUUCUAUAUGCCCAGCUGAGAAAGGGUAAAGACAAUAGCAAAAUAUUAGCUGCUGGCUUUAUAAAUUUUAGUAUAUAAUGCCUGUUUUUAAAUUUGAAAAAUUAUUAAGCAUGCUAACAGACAGGAACAUAAGAUUGCAAACCAAGAAAAAUGAAAAAGGGAAAAAAAGACCCAAAUAUGAUCAAGAUAGUAACUUAGCAAAAAUUUUUAAGUCACUGUGUUAGCAUGUAUAAGAAUAUAGAAACAAAGAUGGAGAAAAUGUAUUAAGAGAUAGGCC